GAUGAACGCUAGCUACAGGCUUAACACAUGCAAGUCGAGGGGAAACGAUAUUGGAAGCUCGCUUCCGAUAGGCGUCGACCGGCGCACGGGUGAGUAACGCGUAUCCAACCUGCCCACCACUUGGGGAUAACCUUGCGAAAGUAAGACUAAUACCCAAUGAUAUCUCAAGAAGACAUCUGAAUGAGAUUAAAGAUUUAUAGGUGAUGGAUGGGGAUGCGUCUGAUUAGAUUGUUGGCGGGGUAACGGCCCACGAAGGCGACGAUCAGUAGGGGUUCUGACAGGAAGGUCCCCCACCUUGGAACUGAGACACGGUCCAAACUACUACGGGAGGCAGCAGUGAGGAAUAUUGGUCAAUGGGCGAGAGCCUGAACCAGCCAAGUAGCGUGCAGGAUGACGGCCCUAUGGGUUGUAAACUGCUUUUAUAAGGGAAUAAAGUGAGCCUCGUGAGGCUUUUUGCAUGUACCUUAUGAAUAAGGACCGGCUAAUUCCGUGCCAGCCGCCGCGGUAA
rnacentral:rRNA from 1 species